rnacentral:rRNA from 1 species
UGCGAACUCCUACGGGAGGCAGCAGUGAGGAAUAUUGGUCAAUGGGCGAGAGCCUGAACCAGCCAAGUAGCGUGCAGGAUGACGGCCCUCCGGGUUGUAAACUGCUUUUAGUUGGGAAUAAAACAGCGGACUUGUCCGCUCUUGUAUGUACCUUCAGAAAAAGGACCGGCUAAUUCCGUGCCAGCAGCCGCGGUAAUACGGAAGGUCCAGGCGUUAUCCGGAUUUAUUGGGUUUAAAGGGAGCGUAGGCGGAUUGUUAAGUCAGCGGUUAAAGGGUGUGGCUCAACCAUGCAUUGCCGUUGAAACUGGCGAUCUUGAGUGCAGACAGGGAUGCCGGAAUUCGUGGUGUAGCGGUGAAAUGCUUAGAUAUCACGAAGAACUCCGAUCGCGAAGGCAGGUGUCCGGGCUGCAACUGACGCUGAGGCUCGAAAGUGUGGGUAUCAAACAGGAUUAGAUACCCUUGUAGUCCU